UACGUAGGGGGCUAGCGUUGUCCGGAAUCAUUGGGCGUAAAGAGCGUGUAGGCGGUCCGGUAAGUCCGCUGUGAAAGUCGGGGGCUCAACCCUCGAAUGCCGGUGGAUACUGUCGGGCUAGAGUACGGAAGAGGCGAGUGGAAUUCCUGGUAUAGCGGUGAAAUGCGCAGAUAUCAGGAGGAACACCUAUUGCGAAGGCAGCUCGCUGGGACGUAACUGACGCUGAGACGCGAAAGCGUGGGGAGCAAACAGG
rnacentral:rRNA from 1 species